AGUGAACGCUGGCGGUAGGCCUAACACAUGCAAGUCGAACGGCAGCACAGGAGAGCUUGCUCUCUGGGUGGCGAGUGGCGGACGGGUGAGGAAUACAUCGGAAUCUACUUUUUCGUGGGGGAUAACGUAGGGAAACUUACGCUAAUACCGCAUACGACCUACGGGUGAAAGCAGGGGACCUUCGGGCCUUGCGCGAUUGAAUGAGCCGAUGUCGGAUUAGCUAGUUGGCGGGGUAAAGGCCCACCAAGGCGACGAUCCGUAGCUGGUCUGAGAGGAUGAUCAGCCAAACUGGAACUGAGACACGAUCCAGACUCAUACGGGAGGCGGAAGUGGGGAAUAUUGAACAAUGGGCGCAAGCCUGAUCCAGCCAUACCGCGUGGGUGAAGAAGGCCUUCGGGUUGUAAAGCCCUUUUGCUGGGAAAGAAAUCCAGCUGGCUAAUACCCGGUUGGGAUGACGGUACCCAAAGAAUAAGCACCGGCUAACUUCGUGCCAGCCGCCGCCGUAA
rnacentral:rRNA from 1 species